CAUGCCUAACACAUGCAAGUCGAACGGAAACGAUGCUAGUUUGCUAGCAGGCGUCGAGUGGCGGACGGGUGAGUAAUGUAUAGGGAUCUGCCUAGUAGUGGGGGACAACAUGUGGAAACGCAUGCUAAUACCGCAUACGCUCUACGGAGGAAAGUGGGGGACCUUUCGGGGCCUCAUGCUACUAGAUGAACCUAUAUUGGAUUAGCUUGUUGGUAAGGUAAUGGCUUACCAAGGCUACGAUCCAUAGCUGGUUUGAGAGAAUGAUCAGCCACACUGGGACUGAGACACGGCCCAGACUCCUACGGGAGGCAGCAGUGGGGAAUAUUGCACAAUGGGCGCAAGCCUGAUGCAGCAAUGCCGCGUGUGUGAAGAAGGCCUUAGGGUUGUAAAGCACUUUCAGACGUGAGGAAAAGUAAUAAUUUAAUAAAUUGUUACCUUGACGUUAACGUCAGAAGAAGGACCGGCUAACUCCGUGCCAGCAGCCGCGGUAAUACGGAGGGGUCCAAGCGUUAAUCGAAAUUACUGGGCGUAAAGCGCGCGUAGGGCGGAUAUUUAAGUCAGAUGUGAAAUCCCUGGGCUCAACCUAGGAACUGCAUUUGAUACUGGAUAUCUAGAGUAUGGUAGAGGUGAGUGGAAUUUCAGGUGUAGCGGUGAAAUGCGUAGAGAUCUGAAGGAACAUCAGUGGCGAAGGCGACUCACUGGGCCAUUACUGACGCUGAGGUGCGAAAGCGUGGGUAGCAAACAGGAUUAGAUACCCUGGUAGUCCACGCCCUAAAACGAUGUCAACUAGGUGUAUGGGAGUUUAACUCCUGUGUAUCGAAGCUAACGCGAUAAGUUGACCGCCUGGGGAGUACGGUCGCAAGACUAAAACUCAAAUGAAUUGACGGGGGCCCGCACAAGCGGUGGAGCAUGUGGUUUAAUUCGAUGCAACGCGAAGAACCUUACCUGGUCUUGACAUGUAGCGAAGGUUUUAGAGAUAGAACUGUGCCUUCGGGAACGCUAACACAGGUGCUGCAUGGCUGUCGUCAGCUCGUGUCGUGAGAUGU
rnacentral:rRNA from 1 species